rnacentral:lncRNA from 1 species
AUGUGCAAAUGAGGGAACUUGGAUCUUGUUGCCAAGGGGUUAAAAUUGGGAACCUCAGUUGCUACUAAAUCAUAGUUUAAAAACAAAACAAACCUAAUAAUGUUGUCAUUGUUGCUAUCCGAUUCCAUAGCAGCAGUCACUAAAUUGGAAACAAAGGUUGCAACAUGACAAAAAAAAAGUGUAGUAUUUACCAGCACCAUUCAGUAAUACAGCCUUAACCAUACCUCCUUGAACUACUUCAUAACUUGUCAAGAGAAGCAGUUUGCAGCAAGGCCAUGUGGGAUGCACCUAGUAUUAAAAUUGCUUUGUCUUAAAAUUGAGGUGAGGAUAUUAAAAACUUGUUGUGAAGAAGAAUGUUUAUCUCAGAGUGAAGAUACUGUGGCUGAAAAGUACUAGUUUGAUACUUAAGAUUUUAAUGACCAAAACCCUCCGACUUUGAAGCUGAAGAAGGUAAACUUCUCCAUUAUUACAGUGCAAGUGUGGACUCACCAGUGCAUUGACUGUCUAGUUACUUAUCAGCCUGUUUCUUUUGAUGGAGGACUUCAAAUGGGGGAGGGAACUCUGUUUCUGUUUGCCUGAUUCAAGUGUCUGAGAAACAAAUCUUGUUCUUCUAGGCUGCAAUGGAAAAACUUUUAACAGGGUUUUGGCAUUUCCUUUUCUUUAUAAACCAUGCUCAGCAAACUGCACCAGUUAACUACAGUUUGGUAAAUUGUUAUGUUAACAAUUAUGACAUCUGCAAUGUUUUAUAAAGCAACUAAUUUAAUAAAAUCACUAUUGUGAGGAAAAAAAAA